CUUUAUAAAUUUAAUUGUUUUAAAUUUUAUUUUAAGUAAAAAUUCUUAAAAAUUUAUAAAAGACGAGAAGACCCUAUAGAAUUUUAUAAAAUUAAUUUGUUAUAGUUAUUUUGUUUUUAAAUUUAUAUAUUUUUUGAUUUUAUUUUAUUGGGGAUAUAUAAAAAUUUAUUUAAAUUUUUAAUUUUAAAUUUAUUUAGUUAAUAAAUUUUAUUAAUUAAUAUUAUUAUAUAUAAAUUAAAUUACCUUAGGGAUAACAGCGUAAUAUUUUUUAUAAGUUCAUAUUGGUAAAAAUGU
rnacentral:rRNA from 1 species